rnacentral:rRNA from 1 species
UACGGGGGGGGCAAGCGUUGUUCGGAAUUACUGGGCGUAAAGCGCGCGUAGGCGGUGAUCUUUGUCAGAGGUGAAAGCCCGGGGCUCAACUCCGGAAUUGCCUUUGAAACGGGAUCGCUAGAGUCCGAGAGAGGAUGGCGGAAUUCCUAGUGUAGAGGUGAAAUUCGUAGAUAUUAGGAAGAACACCGGUGGCGAAGGCGGCCAUCUGGCUCGGUACUGACGCUCAGGCGCGAAAGCGUGGGGAGCAAACAGG